GGAUUGUGGCUCAGCGGUAGAGCGCUCACCUAGCAUGUGCAAGGUUCUGGGUUCCAUCCUCAGCACCA
rnacentral:tRNA from 1 species